UCUUCGAAGGACGGAUAGAAUCCACAUCGCCCCCUAGCGAAAAUAAGGUCCAAACCACUGGCACUGAGGUUUAUUGUUUUGUUAACACUGAUCUAUAAAGUCAAUCAUUUUGAAAUCGCCUACAUAAUCUAAUGCGGAAAUGAAUUCAAGAUGUGUCCAUUCUUGCUAGUCCAUUUAUUUAGCUAACCGAAUUUCCGGAGGCGUGGUCUUCACCAUCUUUGAUUUCAGUAGCACCAGUUUCAGCAGGAAGAGCUAUCAAUUUAUAAAACAUAACUAGUAGCUACAUAUUCGUGUUUGCAGGAUACACCCCGAAAAUAAACCACCAAUAUGUUCAACAGGAUGACAAGCCUUUGGAUGGGUGAUCUGGACCCAUACAUGGAUGAGAAUUUCAUCAAACAAGCCUUCAGCACUAUGGGCGAGACGGCGUAUGGUGUUAAGAUCAUUACCCACAGAGUAACAGGUGGUUCAGCGGGCUAUUGCUUUGUGGAAAUGGCAGACGAAACCAGCGUUGACCGAUGCGUUCACCAACUGAAUGGGAAGCUAGUUCCUGGAUCAAAUCCGGAACUAACUGACGAAUGGAAUAAAGCCUGUUCUGGGUGGUGGAGCCCAGAAAGUUUAAGUUAAACUAUGCAACUUACGGGAAACGGCCAGAGGCUGGCCCGGAAUUUUCAGUUUUUGUGGGAGAUCUGUCUUCAGAGGUGGACGACUACCAGCUUCAUCAGUUCUUCUUGAAGAAGUACCCUUCCUGCAAAGGAGGCAAAGUGGUCUCUGAUCAGUAUGGUAACUCCAGGUAUGUGUGCUGAACAGACUUAUACAUUCAUGUUAUUUGGUGAGGCUAGUUAUGCACCACCUGCUUUUGAACACAAUUUGAAUUAAUCUGACAUUUCAUUACAUUUUAAAUUCCUUGUAAAAGCUCAUGGCGUUUUAACAAUAGACAAUUGUUUCAAUAACAAUUCUUAUUACAUUGGAUGUGUGUGUGUAUAUAUAUAUACUACUGUGUUGGGUAUCUUCACCACUGUUUACCACUGGUAUAUUUCCCCCCAAAUACUGGAAAAGUUUGUUUCUGACAUUUAUGCUAAAACUAUUGUUUUCCCCAUGUAGGGUAAGCAAGAGCAACUCACAAUUGAAGUGAUGCUACUUCAUAUUAAAAGUAAAACAACAAGUUUCAGUUCUACCAUACCAUUUUUGUUUUUCGAAUUAAUUACGCAUUUGAUUAGCAUGAUACGGCGAGUUCGGACAGAAUGUGUGCUCAGGGUUUUAGCAUUUUGCUUGCUCUCGCAGAGGUUAUGGCUUCAUCAAGUUUGAAGAUGAGAACGAACAGAAGAAAGCCAUCGAUGAGUGUCAGAAUGCUUCAGGCCUGGGGACGAAACCAAUCAGGAUCAGCAUAGCUGUGAACAAGAGCCAUAAAAUGAACAGCUAUAACAACCAGAACCACAACUCCUACCACAACAAUUACCAACAGCCAUACUAUCAACAACCCAACCAGAAUUACUACCCUCAGUGGGGCUAUGACCAGUACAACAGCUACAACUAUGGUGGGUACGGUCCCUACGGGGGGUACCCCCCUCCAGGCCCCCAUGGGAUGAUGGGACCCCCACCUCCCAUCGGUAUGCCCCCCAUGCCCACAGACAUGCAGACUUCCGCAGAGCAAACACAGGAGUCCACAGAUGAGCCUGAAGAAGAGGCAGCAGAAGAACCCAAUCCUCACCUGGAUGUGGAUGCACUGAACAAAGAAUACAUGGAGGGGAGUGAGGAGCUCUAUGAUUCACUAAUGAACUGUCACUGGCAGCCACUGGAUACCAUCACUUCAAAAAUCCCUCCUUUUUCCACUUCCUGAUCUGUUUCAACUUGUCCUAUGAAUUUAGUAUGAAGUGUAUUUUCUCCAAAAGAGCAGUCACACAGAAAAUGUCAGCGUUGUUUAAAAAAAAAAUCACCAGUAGAGACGCAUUAUGUUUCUGAGCUACAUUAUUGGCCAUUUGUAUAUAUUGUCCACGUCUUUUGCUUAUUUUUUUCUGUCUCUCUAGAUUAUUAUUAUUAGAUCUUUUUUUUGCCGAAACUUGAUUCUUCCAUUUUAAUUUGAUUAUAUCAAGUAACCAAUGUUUGUCAUCUCCCAGACACUUUGUUUUUUAUUUCACACUGUUUUGGGUACCAUCUUGUCUUCAGAAAGAAAAUGUAAAGAAAUGUUGGUGUAACUCUAUUUUUCAAAAAUGAGAAACUUCCAUUUAAGCUUGUAUUUCAAAAGCUUGCAUCUCACCUUUACUUUAGCUUAAUCUGUGGGUUUCUUUUUUUUUCUUCUUUUAAAUGCAUUUACCUGUCAUUUUCAUGUUAUACAACUUGUCUAUUUGUCUUAGACUUGUAAUUCAUGUCAGCUUUUUUUUGUGCCUGUAGCUUUUGAAAUAAUUGUAUUAUUAAAGCUGACUUGGAGGGGAAAAAAAACAGAUGUUGAAGUUGUUUAAGUACAGUAGUAGACUGUAUUAUCCAAUUGUAAUUUGACACGGAAAAGUGGUGCUUAUGCAAAGUUUAACAUUUUCAUUCAACACAUUUGGUCUGAUUUUAAUAAAAUCACAAUUAAUUUUCCUUCUUA